rnacentral:rRNA from 1 species
UACGAAGGGGGCUAGCGUUGUUCGGAAUUACUGGGCGUAAAGCGCGCGCAGGCGGUCUUCCAAGUCAGUGGUGAAAGCCUGGAGCUCAACUCCAGAACUGCCAUUGAAACUGUUAGACUUGAGUACGAGAGAGGUGAGUGGAAUUCCCAGUGUAGAGGUGAAAUUCGUAGAUAUUGGGAAGAACACCGGUGGCGAAGGCGGCUCACUGGCUCGUAACUGACGCUCAUGCACGACAGCGUGGGGAUCAAACAGG